rnacentral:lncRNA from 1 species
ACAAAUACCAAGCGACAGGUGCGAACAAGUUGCCUUAAAUAAAUUGCCCCAGGUUUAAUUUAUAUUCUAUUAUUCAUAUUCUGAUUUAUUAGUAUUUAUAUGCUUUUAAAGGGCAGUCUUUCAAGAGGGCUUUUUAGAGAACACAAAAGCCAUGUUCUGCUGUAACUAAGUUCUUCUGUCUGGUCUUUAUUAACGCAUAACUCUUUGAUAUUAUCAGCCACACAUUUCUUCUCAUUAUUGUCUACUGGCACGGACGAGACAAGUGAGAAGGCCCCCGUUUUCCAGUCAGCACACACGCAAGCGGCCCCUAAGCACUGGCACGGGCUGAGGCGCCCGGGGGCGAGCAAGCUGCCAGGUGCCGCCCGCGGGCGCUGCGCGGAGCUCCCCCUCCUGGCGCCAGGCACGGCCUGCCGUCACACCUGGGCCCGGCCGCCCAGAGCGGGCUGCGCGGGCGGCAGGCCGCGUGAGGAGCAGCGGGUCUCGUGGUCCCUCCUAGGGUAACACAGCGGAUGGCUCCCUGCUUGCCGGGAGGCCCCAGCUCUCGGGCAGGCUGCUUGGUGAUGCUAGUCGUUACAGAAAACGUAUGUCUUGCGCGGUCUGUCGUAAACUCACUUGUUCUUGUCUCAGCUGUAUCUGAGUCCAGCCAGCCAUUUCAUGCAUACAGAAACACGCCUGUGAACUUCUCCCUGGAGUCAGCUCCUUCAGCUCCCCACUUCCACGCCGGUGAUGUUAUUUCAUCCACACCUUGCAGAAGGGGCGCAUUCCACUCAUUCCUGAGCUGGGAUGAGCGCCUGCAGCAUUACUCACCCACAGCAGUGUCUGUAGAUCCCUGUCUGCUGUGGGUACUAAUCUCAAUCCAGAGCUUCCUCAGACGAUUAGAGGCUGUUCUGCAAAAUGUCAAUACGCAGCCUCUCUGAAGCCAACACAGUAUGGUGGUUGAAAUGGGAGUCGUGGCGGCUUUCCAAAUAUGAAGGUCUGGAAAUGUUUGGAGGUAUUUUAAUACUGAUGAAUAUUUCAGAUUUUUUCUGUUGCUUCAGGGUAUCAGUGUCAAAUCUGUGCAGAUUAAUGGCAAGAUAGAGCCCUAAUACCGUUCAUGUCUUUCAAAGUUCUGGCAAAUGCUGAACAACUUAUCGCUGCUAAUAAUAACUCUUCUUGCCUAUAAGUUCAUAUAAUUCAUCAAAAAGAAAAUAUUGAUAAACAGAAAGAAAUUAAAUACUUAUGAGUCUUCUGUUAAAAUGCCUUUCUUUUUACUUUAAUGUCUCCUAUGGCAAAAGUAAGCAAGGGGAAAUCUGCUCCUUCUUCAGCAUCAAAAAGCACCCACACCACUCAAAAGCAGUUGAGAUUAAACCCUUGAAAAGGUAUCAGCAAUGUGUGUAAAGCCAAAUUAGUAAAGCGUGCUCUGGACACCAGUUUUGACUUCGGAGAAAAUGCUUUAUCGUCUGUCUACUGUUACACUGCCUACUCACCACCAUUACUCAGUAACUCUGCAGUGAUGGUUUCACAUGAAGCCAAAGAUCAGGGAGAGUCACACAUCAAACAAGACUUGAACUUGGAGAUGGCAAACCAUGCAUUUGCAGCCUCUAGACCCUAUUCCUUUUAAGGACUGUACCUCAGAAUGAAACCUGUGAGCCUUCUCUAAAGUUUCAUUUGUUGAAUACGGUGCUCCACUUGCUCUGUAAAAUAGGUUGGUAAGAGCCCUGCUUUCCUGAGGGCUUCUCGUUCUUUGUGGCUGAAACCCAAAAUGCUGCCCUAUGGUGCUAGGGCAGGUCUGGGAUACCUGAGAGACCAACCUGCUCCCUAUGCCUCCCUCCCACAUUCCUCACACACCUUGAAACCAAGGAACUGUCAAACUCAGAAGCAAAGAUGGUGAGCGGUGGACACCUGCACUCUUUGCAGCUGCCCAUGGGAGUAAAGCUC